rnacentral:rRNA from 1 species
UACGAAGGGGACUAGCGUUGUUCGGAAUCACUGGGCGUAAAGCGCACGUAGGCGGAUUCGUAAGUCAGGGGUGAAAUCCCGGGGCUCAACCUCGGAACUGCCUUUGAUACUGCGGGUCUUGAGUCCGAUAGAGGUGGGUGGAAUUCCUAGUGUAGAGGUGAAAUUCGUAGAUAUUGGGAAGAACACCGGUGGCGAAGGCGGCUCACUGGCCCGUAACUGACGCUCAGGCGCGAUAGCGUGGGGAUCAAACAGG